GGCUAAGUGCUCAUCUGUAACGAGAUCAUCUGUGUAAAUGAGAAAAGUUUUGUUUUACAAAAGUUUAUUUCGAUUGGAAUGAAUUAUCCUCGAGCACCCAUUAAAAUCAGCAUCAGCACCCUUGGAUUGGGGUGCAUUGUACCUUGCACCCUAUACUACUUCACACCCCUAUAGGGUGCUUUGGCAGAGGGGUGCUCGUUUGCACCCUCAAAGGGUGCUCGUCCUGGGACAAGUGCUUUACACCCCUAAGGGGUGUAAAAAGUUUAGUGUGUAGGGUUACGAACGCGAGUCAACGGGACACCCGUGCCUCAUAUGAAGCAUGGCAACCAAUUCUGGAGUAGAUUGGCAAGCAGCAUACCAAGUAAGCACGUCCUGGUGAUUUGCGUCCUUAACUCGUCAUGACCUAGUCAAACACAACUGUGUGAAAGGGAUAUUUAACAUUUCAUUCGUACACAAAGAAAUUUUUUAUAUCAAUUCUCAUGACAAGAAAACCUAGAGGGAAACUCAAAGAAUAACUUAGUUCCGUGACUCAUCCUGUGAAAUGCCUGUUUUUCUUUCAUUAAACUAUUUUCAGCGCUAGCCAUGAAGCUCCAUUACCCCUUCAUCAAAAGAUACCAACAUUGAACUUCCAGGGCCAGCCUUCCAUCACUGGAUGAUCUGAGCUGCACCGACAUUGAGUGUGGAUGGUCCGCCAAGAAGAAAGGUGUGCGGCAUAUGUAUGAGGCGGUGGCACUGUUGAAGUUUUGCCAUGUGAGCAUGAAACCCCCAGUCGUGGUAACCGCUCAUGAGCAGGGCGUCAUGGCAGAGCUGCUGCUACGGGCAGCACCACAAUCGGCAAUUGCACAACAGAGGAAACGAAAACCAAAACACAGGGUCCCGAACUCUACUCUGGAUGUCACCCCUUGAUGACUACGAAAGCGUGGACUAUACAG